GGCUUGUCGACUGUGCAAUGUAAACAUUUUAUGCCAUGCAACUUCUGUCCUUAUUGCGGCUGUAGAGUUACAGCAAAGGAAUUUUAUAUGUCUUUUGUAUUUGUAUAAUGUAUUGCCAAAAUUGUGGUACUAAAAUAUUACAAGGCGGAAGUUUUUGUCAUAAUUGUGGCCAUGCGGUUGCAAAAAAAGAUUCCCUUGUGCAGUGUAAUAACAUUAUCCAGUCUUAUAACAACUCUGGCACAUCUAACAAUCAAAGCCCUCCAGCAAGUGGCUCAACUUCCAUAAUUUGUAAUGACAGUAUGCCUCGUGACUUACGUCCUAUGACCUUUCAAUAAUUUCGAAAA